rnacentral:rRNA from 1 species
CGAACCCUUCGGGGUUAGUGGCGCACGGGUGCGUAACGCGUGGGAAUCUGCCCUUUGCUUCGGAAUAACUCAGGGAAACUUGUGCUAAUACCGGAUGAUGUCUUCGGACCAAAGAUUUAUCGGCAAGGGAUGAGCCCGCGUAGGAUUAGGUAGUUGGUGGGGUAAAGGCCUACCAAGCCGACGAUCCUUAGCUGGUCUGAGAGGAUGAUCAGCCACACUGGGACUGAGACACGGCCCAGACUCCUACGGGAGGCAGCAGUGGGGAAUAUUGGACAAUGGGCGCAAGCCUGAUCCAGCAAUGCCGCGUGAGUGAUGAAGGCCCUCGGGUCGUAAAGCUCUUUUACCAGGGAUGAUAAUGACAGUACCUGGAGAAUAAGCUCCGGCUAACUCCGUGCCAGCAGCCGCGGUAAUACGGAGGGAGCUAGCGUUGUUCGGAAUUACUGGGCGUAAAGCGCACGUAGGCGGCUACUCAAGUCAGAGGUGAAAGCCCGGGGCUCAACCCCGGAACUGCCUUUGAAACUAGGUAGCUAGAAUCUUGGAGAGGCGAGUGGAAUUCCGAGUGUAGAGGUGAAAUUCGUAGAUAUUCGGAAGAACACCAGUGGCGAAGGCGACUCGCUGGACAAGUAUGACGC